UCCCUGGUGGCUCAGAGGUUAAAGCACCUGCCUGCUAUGCGGGAGACCAGGGUUCAAUCCCUGGGUUGGGAA
rnacentral:tRNA from 1 species